AUCUGAUGAUGGUGGCAACUUGCACAAAAUCUCUUGAAUCUCUCCUAGUACUCAUAUAGACUCUCAUCAUGUUGCUGUCUGAUUCCUGAAAUAUCUUUCCUGAUGGU